UGCUCCACGUGGUGAAACUACCUCCUGUCACGACCUGUGAGCCUCCCUUCGCAGCUUUUAAACACCCUCCAGCCUUUUGUUUCCAUGGAGAGACUGAGUGCUGGUCUAUCUUCACCACUGGAAGAGAUUUAAUAAAUAAAGUCAUGCUCGCUUGUUUAAUCUUGACUGGGGCGAUUUUUGCUUUGACGAUUCCCAAGUAUAUGAACUCCGGGAGGGCUGAAGAAUAGAAGCCAAUGAGGAAAUUUACCACAAGUGGCUUCAGUGGGUUAUUGGAGUUCCUCCCUAGGUUAGUGAGAGGGAAUCAGCUCAGAGAGAACCUUCUUCUGGAGGCCCUUUCUUUGUAGUUUAAGAAAAAAAGAGUUUUUCCUCGGGAAAUGUUCAAGGACCUUCAAGUUAACUGAGAAGUAAAUAAAUUCUCUGCAGGGAUUCAAAGAUAACAGCAUGGUAGGAAGUGCAGAAUCUUACGCAUUUUUAUAGGUAAGUUGGAGGUCUCUCUAGAUUCCUCUGGCAUGACAACUAGCAUUGGUCCAUUUCUAAAGUGAUGAUGCUUGGUUAUCCAGUAUGCGAGUUGUUAUGGUUAUUAACACAAGAGCCCGGUGAUGAUGACCAAAGUAGGAUCAAUCUGAGGAUGAGUCUGUGGGGUGAUUUGUCAAUUAAAUUCUGUAAGAUAGACCACAUUUGAUUUAUUCAUUUUAAAAGUAAUCAGAUUUUACUGAAUGAAGGCUCUCCGUGCAAUUGCUUUAGAAGCAGAUAGCAUGAAGCAACUUAAACUGAAAUAUUUAUAUCCUGAAGGGAGGCAGAAUUUGCCAUCCCAAUAUAUACCUCUACGGUAUAAGGAUUAUUUUAGGCUGAUUACUAUUUUUUUUUUUUUUGGCUUUUUAUUUUUAAGUAUGCACUUUUUGUUUUUCCUUUGGUGAGGAAGAUUGGCCCUGAGCUAACAUCUCUUGCCAAUCUUGCUCUAUUUUAUGUGGGAUGCCACCACAGCCUGGCUCGACUAGUGGUGCUAGAUCCAUGCCUGAGAUCCAAAACUGUGAAUCCUGGGCUGCCAUAGUGGAGCAUGCAAACUUAACCACUACACCACCAGGCUGGCCCCACAAACUAAUUUUUGAGGAUUGUUUUAGCAGUGUCUGGAGGGAACACUACUGGACAUGAUGAGAUGGGCAGAGGUGUUGGUGCCACUUAUGUAAACAGUAAUCUUUACUAUACACAUUAAAGGUUUUGUUCUUAUUAUCUUUAAAUUAAAUCUGGGUAUAGGGCAUUGCUCCAGUCUCUGAACAUACCCAGUAAACCAAAGACUAUUGGGAACUAAGACCCAGUGUCUGCCGCACCCAGGAACCAGUCCUACAUAACUAGCCUGUAGUCUUUGUUCUGUAAGAUGGGCUUUAAGGAUGCGAGUCCACCGUCUUCCAUCUUUGAUGGCAAAAACGAAUAAGCUUCUUGUACUUCACUGACUUGCCUCCUGACUUUUUGGCUAGUUUUGCCACAAGCAGAAUGAACCUGUUGCUCAGUAUCAGGGAACGUGGGCUCUCUCUGUGCACAGUGAGAAGCCAUUGGACCAUCACGAGUAGAAGAGAAGCAACACAUGGGUGGACUCCUGACUUUUAUCUUCCAUCAAAGACCUAAAGGGCUCAUCUUCUUUGGAGAUAACUUUGGGACAGAAGGAGCUCAAAGGAGUGUUCCUCAGUGUGAUCUACAUACUGAGGUGUAAUUAUUAGAAAUGUACAUUUCCCAGGUGUAUUUGCAUUUGAAGAUGUAUCAAAAUCUUAGUCAAUGAUAUUUGGUGAGGCAAACAAGCACUCCCCUAGGAACGUUCAGGAUGUGUUUUCUGAGAGGAAACCCUUUAAAAACAUAAAUUAGGCAAAUUUCCCUGGAUAUAUAAUGUUACUCCUCUUCAUUCACUUGGUCACCUCAACCCCUGUCUGAUCCAGUGCUACAACUAAAUGGCUGAAAGGAAACGCCUAAUUCAGAUAGGAAACGCAGGUAAAAAGAAAGAGAGAGAAUGAGACAGAGAGAAAUAGAGACAGAGAAGGAGGAAGGAAGGAAGAAAGAGAAUGAGUGUGGCUUGGGAAUCAGACACCAGGAAGAGAAUACCACAUGGUAAAAGUCAGCCUGAAGAACGCUUAGAUUUGACAUCCCUUUGUUGACGUGAUUCUUGAAAGGCUGAUGUAGCUGAAUUUUCACAAUCUUAAUUCCUCCUGGUAUUUUGAAUCUGAAAUGAUGAAUCUGAUCAUUUGAAAUUGCCUGGUUGCCUUCCUCCCAUCCCCA
ensembl:lncRNA